GAUGAACGCUGGCGGCGUGCCUAAUACAUGCAAGUCGAACGAACACAUGAGGAGCUUGCUCCUCUGACGGUGGCGGCGGACGGGCGAGUAACACGUGGAUCACCUACCUCUAAUACUGGGAUAACUUCGUGAAACCAGAGCUCAUACCAGAUAAUAUAUUGAACCGCAUGGUUCAAUAGUUCAAUACGGCUUUCCUGUCUCUAAUAGCUGGUUCCGCGCCGCAUUAGCUAGUUGGUAAGGUAACGGCCUACCAAGGCGACGAUGCGUAGCCGACCUGAGAGGGUGAUCGGCCACACUGGAACUGAGACACGGUCCAGACUCCUACGGGAGGCAGCAGUAGGGAAUCUUCGACAAUGGGCGAAAGCCUGACGCAGCAACGCCGCGUGAGUGAAGAAGGCCUUCGGAUUGUAAAACUCUGUUGUUAGGAAAGAAAAAAUGUGGAAGAAUCCCUGCACGUCUUGACGGUACCUAAAGAAAAAGCAACGGCUAACUACGUG
rnacentral:rRNA from 1 species